rnacentral:rRNA from 1 species
UGGUAGGGACGAUUAUUGGGCUUAAAGCGUCCGUAGCCGGUCCGGCAAGUCUCCCGUUAAAUCCAGCGACCUAAUCGUUGGGCUGCGGAAGAUACUGUUGGGCUAGGGGGCGGGAGAGGCCGACGGUAUUCCUGGGGUAGGGGUGAAAUCCUAUAAUCCCGGGAGGACCACCAGUGGCGAAG